CCACUGGGGGUCUUAGAAUAUAUCCUCUGUGGAUAACAGAGAGACAACUAUACAUUAUGUAAAAUAAUGUAUAAUGUGCUUAAUUAUUACUGUGUCUAAGGUCAACAAUGUCUUGCCAUGUAUUUAAUUUAUAGAUUAAAAUUUAUUAUAAAUAUGUAUGUACCAGAAAAUCACAUUCUAUAUGGGGGGGGGGGUUCAGCAGGUGUUCACUUAUAUCCAAGCUUUUAGCCAUCCACAGGAGUUCUUGAAUGUAUCCCCCUCAGAUAAUUUAGAUCAAACUUAACAGUGUAUUAUGCAUGGGUUUGUUUUUGUUUUUGUUUUUUUUGAAAGCUGGUUGUUAAACCCCUGCCUAAUACACUUCAUACCCUCCUGAACAUCACCUUCAGAUGACUCUUACAGCCUGCCUCUUCCAUGCGUUCUCAUAUGCUGCUGAAUGAAUUUUGGGAGCAUCGUACAACCAUGCCAUCUGUGUCUACUACAAAUUGAUGUUAUCUCAUCUCAACUGGAUCCUUAUUGUAGGAAGUUUUGCUUUUGUAGCUUCAUAACUCCCCAAUCCAAGAAGAUCCAUUUGAAAUAAGCAGGAAUUGAGCCGGAAGAAGGGGACAAUCCUCGAGAAAUAGAAGGAACAAAAGAGAUGGGAGCAGGUUCACAACCAUUUUCAAGAUCUACUUGAGUGGAAUCAUCCAACAUAUUGAAGCCCUCUCAUCAUGGCUUAGCACCUCUUCCAAGGGCAAGGAAUGUCCAAGAGUUAGUGAAUAUAAAGUGCUCCCAGGUGAAGAGUAGCACUCAUCUUUAGGGUUUCUUCCUGCUUUGGGAAAUUUCAAGACAGUUGGUUGCUGGGACCAAUUGGCCCUUUGAUUGCUCACUGGGUAUCUUGCUCAACUCUAUAAACCACCACCAUGAUGCACUGACACUCUUGGCAAAAACACAUUUUGGCAAAUACAAAGUUACUAGCAUUCUGUUCAGCAUCUGUUCCACAGUCAAUUCCCUAGCCUCUGAGUAAAUUGACACUUUGGUGUAUUCCUUCUCAUGCAUCUAAUGGGACUCUUAACCAAGGCAUGGGGUGGGAUAUAUAACAACCUCCAUUUCACUUUCAUCUCUUCCUUUAGCUAUUCCAUUGUUCAAAUUAUAUAAGAUGAUGCAUAGAUGUACUAAGCAACCCCACAUCCCUCUGUAUCCCCACCCCCAAUCCCUCUCUAGCUCUCUAGACUAACAAGUUCUUGUCUGAAUUUGACCGUAGUUCAUCAUUCCAUCUGUAUUUCGAGCUUCUGUCCAAUAUGUUCCUCCUAAUUUAAUCAUAAGGGCCCUGGUUUCUCCCACUCUCUGUCUUUCUGUAUCCCUUUCUCCAGAGGGAAUGGGGAAAGAGUGGAUUAUGUUGCAAUAAGGAUGGAGCUCUAAGAGCAAUUCCCUGGUUGUAAAGAGAGAAAUACUGAGUCAGGGAGAUGGUGCAUAUACUGGCAGGCACUGAACUGAAGACUGGCUAUGCAUUGGAAACUGUGUGACAGACUGCAUGGGGGUGGGGGCAAAGGAGAAAGCAAUGACCUGAUCCUUUGUGUUUUCCUUUGUAGAAAUACUGGUAGAAAAGGUAGAG
ensembl:lncRNA